CUACGGGAUGCUGCAGUGGGGAAUAUUGCACAAUGGAGGGAACUCUGAUGCAGCAACGCCGCGUGGAGGAUGACGCAUUUCGGUGUGUAAACUCCUUUUAUAUAGGAAGAUAAUGACGGUACUAUAUGAAUAAGCACCGGCUAACUCCGUGCCAGCAGCCGCGGUAAUACGGAGGGUGCAAGCGUUACUCGGAAUCACUGGGCGUAAAGCGCAUGCAGGCGGUUAAAUAAGUUGGAAGUGAAAUCCUAUGGCUCAACCAUAGAACUGCUUCCAAAACUGUUUAACUAGAGUCUGGUAGGGGAAGAUGGAAUUAGUAGUGUAGGGGUAAAAUCCGUAGAGAUUACUAGGAAUACCAAAAGCGAAGGCGAUCUUCUGGAACAGUACUGACGCUGAGAUGCGAAAGCGUGGGGAGCAAACAGGAUUAGAUACCCUUGUAGUC
rnacentral:rRNA from 1 species